CCGGGGUUACCUGCUGGGUGUCUGUCCCCCGGCGGUGCCCCCGGAGUCCGGGUAGGGAGGGGGGGAAGCAGCAGGGGGGGGGGAGUGGGGGCUGGGGGGGCGGGGGAGACGGUCCCUCCUCUGCCUCCUGGGCCUGCCCCGGCGCUUGCAGCCUCUGCCUCCCUCCCUCCUCCUCCCCGUCCCUGAGUCCCGGAGUCAAACAAAGAACUGUAGCAGGCUCUCCCCAACCCCCUCCCUCCUCCUCCUCCUCCUCCUCCACCUCCUCCUCCCCUCCCUCCCUCCCCACCAGCAGGCUCCCUCCUCCUCCCUUCCGGUCUCUUCCUUUAACUACCCGCCCCCCCCAGCCCCCAGCACUAGUCUCUCUCCACCCACCCACCCCAACCUUUUACACACCCCUCAGCCUAGCCUUGUCCCCACUAGAGAAACUGUGGAGUCCCUUUGCAAAAUGAAAGCCUCCAGAGAACAACAUGGGAGGGGACUGAGGUCUUGCUUCAAAAUCAAGAACCACAAUACAAUUAUUUUAUUUUCAAGGCCCACGGAAUAGUCUUAGCUAUUUCUUCUCCAAAAGGGGAAAAAAUAAUCCUAAAGAAAGCAAUACAAAUCUGCCUAAAGGCUUCAUCAAAUAAAACACAAAAAGCAGUUGAAGCUAAUCUCCAGCCCCCUAACCCAAAUCUCCAAAUUAACACAAACUAUUCACUCCCCCCUAACAAACUCCUAAGGGUAACUGCUGGUUUGGAGCAGGCCCACAGGAAUAAUAAACUAAUAACACUAACAAUAAAAGUAUUUCAUAACAACAAGCACUCAUUCUGUGCCAGGCACUGUGCUAAAUGAUUUGCAUAAAUUAUCUCAUUUUUUUCCUCACAGCGGCCUUCAAGGUAGGUAUUGAUAUUUAAAUGUUCAAGAUUAAAAUGCAAGGCUCAGAGAGGUUGUGACCUUUCCAAGUUCCAGUAGCCACUAAGUGACUGAGCUGGAAUUAGAAUCCAGGUCUGAUCUGACAGCCCAAGCUCUAAGGUACAUAAAACUACAAACUGAUUUAUUCCAAGACCAUCUCCAACCCCAGGACUUAGUAAAGAAGAGCAGCCAGAACAAGCAACUGAGUCCCCCUCCACCUAGUGAGAGGCUACAGGCCGAUUCACCGGCAUACACACAAUAAAGACCCUUACUUUCCAGUCUAAUACUGUUUCUUGGCCCUUUUCCUUUCAUUGUUUGUAGAUAGGAGUGUGCCAUUAAGGGGACGUUAGGGAUAAGCUGGUGUGUAGUGAACCCCCGAUACUAAACACAACUCUUCUGUCUUGCAACCACUCCCACUUCAAAUCAAUCUAGGGAAGGGGGCAAUAGGACACUUGGUCACGCAGCAGGUGGGAAAGUAAAAAGACUGCUAGGUAGCUCUUUCUAUGGGGGCAGAGACUUGGAGGAGAAGCUCUUCUGUGCCAAUCUAGGGAAAAGUGACCCAAGGCUCCCUCAGCCCAAGCAAAGGGGCAAAGUCUUUCAGCCACACCACACCCGUGCCCCUCCCCCUCACAAAACUCCAGGCCGGGGUUUCCCACCUGCAGGAUGCUAAGACCAAGGGAAGGGAGAGGGGAAAGAGAUGGCACGGGACUGGGACUGGAACUGGACUCGGGGCAGAGGUGGGAGGGAAUAGAAGGGGGAGGAAGCCUCAUUGCCUGGCAACCGUCCCAGGGCACGUGCACUGGUGACAUCAUCCCAGGCCACCUCUAACACAGACCUUUGACCCCUAUGGGGCGGAGGGGGUGUGCUGGCUAAGCUUCCUGGAAACACCCUUAGGAAUUCUGGGAAUCCAAAAAGGAGAGGGAGGAAGGAACCCAGGCGUCCUUAUCUCUUUUACCCCUAUACGACUCCAGUCCCAGGGACUCAGGCCUCUUGCCUGACUCCUACUCUCCGCCCGCAGCCCUGACCUCCCCGCCUGCAGCCCUGACCUCCCAACCCACAUUUUUGACGGGAGUCGGCCCGACACGCCCCUCGAAGAUACUGUGCCUUCUCUCUCCCGAGCAAGAUCUCGGUGGGGGCCGGCAGGCGGGGACGGGGGCACCGGGUCCCGCGGGGUUCCGUCUUCCAUCUGCAGGAUCCCCCGUGCCCCAGCCGGCCGCCAGCCGUAAUCUGUCUGGGUCCCCAACCCUCCCGCCCCUCCCCGCGCUGUUCCAGGGCGGAGUCAGUGGAGUUGAAACCAGGACACGGCAAGAGGAAGAGUUAUAUAACUGAGAGAAGCGAAGAAGGACGAGUGGAGACAGGGACAGACAGCCCGAAAGGAGCCGAGGGAGGUGCAAAGAACGCCAGAGCGAAUGAGAACGAAACAUUAGGAAUGGGAAGGGUUUUGGUGCUCAUCAAAGAGCAGGAAUUCACGCGAAGAAGGGGCGUGAUGGCCCAGAAGAGUCACCUGGGCCGUCCGGGGCUUCCCCGCAGUGCCCUCCCCCGCCACCAACAGCAGCUGGGCCAGGGAGGGAGAAGCCUCGGGAAGGGGCGCUGAUACCCGCUCGCUUUCUCUUGGGGAAGCAACGUAAGCCAGAGCCCGGGAAGGCAGCGGCAGAGCAGAUGGGGCCGGAAACCACAGCUCCGCCCAGCCCACCUGGGAGUGUGGGGCGCCAGCUGGGGGGAGGUGGGGAACAGGUAGUCCGCCCUCCUGAGCGAGGCUGGGCAUUAUAGUCACGACCCGCGAAACGGUGCAGACCGACCGAGACGUGGGGGUCCCCAAGAGCUGAGGGGCGCAGCCUUCGGCGGCUUUACACUGACUCCACAAUGAGGAGGGGGCGCCCGGCUCGCCGCGCAGGCGCAAGGGGGUGCUCGGGCGCGUGCGGACCAGGGCUGGGGGGGGCGGUGGGCGCGAGCGUGUGGGAGUGCACGUGCGGGUCCCGGGCAGCUGCCGCCUCUCAGCCUCCGCCGCUGCCCCUCCCCUCUCCCGUUCCCGUCGCUAUCAUGACCCUUCCCCAUUGGCUAUCAGGGCCCUGACGUCAGGUCCAACCGCUGGAGCGGAUUGGGUGGACGGGAGAGUUUGGGAAUCCGGCUCGCAAGUCUCGCCCUCCAGUUACUCUGGCAACUGGGCAAGCCACCCUGGGGAGAGAAGGGGAGCUGAGGUGAACGCCGCGCCUCAGGUCCCGCCCCCUCCGGACAACCGCCGAAUCCCCUCUGGUAGCUGCGCAACUCGCUGCCUCCCCGCCUUCCUCCCAGGGCUCUUCCUGUCUCGGGAACCAGGCGUCCUGCCCUCGACCUUCCCCGCAGUCUCUAGGCCCACCGCUCUCUUCAACCUCCACCCAGUGUCAUAGCCAUAAGCUGAAGCAAACGGGAAGCGAAUCUACGUCGCUUAGCAACCAUCCUGCGUGUCCCCCCCCUGCAAUUUACCCGGGCCCGGGGAGGUGGAGACUGAGUCCCUAGAGUCCCCUCUCCAUCUUCUGCCCUGCCAUCUUCGGCCCACAAUUUCCUGUGAGGGGACCCAGAUGACAGGAAGUCAAAUGGGGGCUUCAGCCUACUUUUCCCUCGGACAGGGACCGGGGCUUCAGCUACCUUUACGGGUACGUCCCGCACCUGCACUCCGCGCCGCCCUGGGUGCGCGUCUCGCCCUCGCCAUCUCGUGGCUGCGUUGGGAAGAUUCCUCACAGAGAAGCUGUGCGGGGCGCGCGAGGGCUCGGGAACAGCAGAGUGGGGGCAGGACCAGGGAUGAGGAGACUAGCGGGGCGAGGCGUAGUGAAGGGGAGAUGCAGUGGGCAGAAUGGGAUGGAGGAGAAGGCUACCGCUGGGAGGCUCUCGGGGCCGCUGGUGGGAAAGUCAGACUGAGGUUUCUAUACCUCACCCAUGCAGAGAACUGGAGGGAGACAAAGUAGCCCUGGGACCGGGACACACCCCAGUCUGACCACAUCUGACCUUAAUGGGUCAUGGCAUUGGCUUGUCUGCAAACUCUGCCUUUUAGUCCUGCCUUUCCGUGAGGACCGCCGCGCCCCGCCCAGGAGUCGAGAAGGGGAAUUGCAGCCCAAGGGGAACUGGAGUCCUUUCAGGCCUCUCUGGACAUCCGGAACCUGACAUAUCUGCUUCCCAGGUCCCGCUCGCCUGAGCGCUGGUGCCAGCUAGGAUGCCGGAUGCGGGGUGCUGGCUUCAGGGUGCAAUGUACAGGGUUCAGCCCCUGAUCCCUGCCUGACAAAUCCCUAUCCCAUUUGGAUCACGCGCCGUUCAAAGGCCGGAAGUGGAUCGUAGGCAUGAGGCAGACAAGCUGCAUAGGCUCUGCCUCCACCAAGCAGGAGUUCUUCCGGUCCCAGCCAGCACCUUCCAGUACACUCUUUUGCUCAGAUCCCCAAGCACAACAGGCUCCCACCUUGGGUGGAUACACUAGGUUGCUGUCAUCCACAGAGGAGACGAUAAACUCCCAGGAGAGGCUGUCCACUGAAAUCUGGGGGUUGAAGGUGAGAAUAAGGGAAGACCCUGAAGAGGAGAAUAAAUGCACAGCCACAGCAUACAUCCUGCUCACACUUUACACAUUGCUCACGUUGUUUUGGCGAGCGGAAGACUGCAGCACAGCAGUGAGGAAGCCAGUGGGAAAGGUGAAACCAGACAGCCAGAAAAUGACAGGAGGCCGGGCCCGGCUGGCCCACAGCUCAAACUGCUCCACACGCAUGGCCAAGUCCCGUGUCCAAGCAGCCAAUGGCUUUUGUGAGGGGUAUGCCUAGGGAAGGAGUGCAUGCUUAUUCUCUCAUUUAGCCAUGCAUUCAAAUCCUUAUUUUUUCUUUAUUUUGGGGUUUUAAUUUUUUUUUAUUUUUUAGAUGGAAUUUCGCUCUUGUUGUCCAGGUUGUACUGCAACAGUGUGAUCCCAGCUUACCAAAACCUCUGCCUCCUGGGUUCAAGCGAUUCUCCUGCCUCAGCCUCCCUAGUAGCUGGGAUUAUAGGCGUUCACCACCACACAUGGCUAAUUUUUGUAUUUUUUUUUAGUAGAGACGGGGUUUUGCCAUGUUGGCCAGGCUGGUCUCGAAUUCCUGAACUCAGGUGAUCCACCAGCCUUGGCCUCCCAAAGUGCUGGAAUUACAGGCGUGAGCAACUGUGCCCAGCCCAAAUCCUUAUUUUUGAGCACCUGAAGCAGGUAUGAGAAGACUAUGUGGUAUCAGCCCCUGUUCCCCAACUACAGGUGAGCAAAGCUCUCCAAAGCCAACUUCCGGGAAAGAGGCACACGACAACUAUUCAUUAAUAACAAUGACCACAGUAAUAUUAACCAGGUACCAUUAAUGAAGCACCUUCUCAGUGGUAUGCACCAUACUGGGAAUCUUUGAGACAUACUUGGAGAGGUUAGUAACUUGCCCUGAGUAAGUCUUUAAGUUAAUAAGUUGUACAAAGUCAGUGAAUGGCAGAGUCAGGUUUCAACCUUGAACCUGUCUAACUUCAAAGUUUAGGCUCUCUACAGUUUGUUGUAUGCCCAUCUAGAACCAGGAGAUUGGGGAGCACAGGGCUGAGAGGGGAGCUCAUUGUUGGAGAAGGAUUAACAAUGGUAUCAUCUUGCCUUUCCCCAGAGUGGAGGAACGUGGGCAUCAAAGAUGCAAUUGAAAAUCUCUUCCAGACUUGUAGACAGGACAAUGAGGCCCUGGAUGCCUUUCUCUAGGUCUGUCAGUGAUAACCUGAGCAGGAUGAGGUGGAGCGUUAGAGAUGGAGUGGGCCUGGGAAUGUCAUUCUAGCCAGAAGGUGAUGGCCUCUCCCCACCCCUUCCUAUGUUCCACAGAGUCCCUCUCUGUCUUACAGGAUGGUCUGCAUCAGUUUGUUGUAUCUUUGAAUCUCCUGCAGAAGGACCACAUUGAGGGGGGAGGGGUCAAGAGCUAGCAGUUUUCGGGUCCCCUCGUAGUCGAUCAUUUCAGGGAUCUUCUGCUUCACAUCAGCAGCCAACUCAAGGACCUGGGCAGGCAGAAGCUCUGAAUGUAGCCCUGUCUUCUGGAAUUCUUCAGGAAUCAGUCCUGCCCUGAUUCCCUCCCCCAGGCCUGGCUCAUUUUACCUUCUCUUCCCGUGUCUGGCCUCCAGCCCUGAUGGGUGUAAUCUGAGGUUGCAAGGAAAGCAAAGUAUCAAAGAGGGUUCGUGCUUCAGUGAUCUGGGAGGCCACAUCAGCAUUGGGGUGCUGGCCAAAGGCCUCAGGGGGGUCCAUGCCAGGCAAUAAGCUGAUGUAUUCCUUGUAAGAGGCCAGGCUCCCAUCCUUGGGGAUGAAAUAAGUCUCUAGGGCUGACAACCUGGAAAGUCAUAGCAUAAUCACUGCCACAUUGUGGGGACUCAGGCCUCAAUGCCAGGCCAAGACCCCAAGCCUAUGCAACUAUUUGCCUAUUUGUCCAAUUCCCUGCCCUGUGCCCCUUCCCAAUCCCAUAAAUUCUGUCUUCUCCCAAUCUCAUGUCCUCUCCUCAAACAUUUCCCCCACCCCUGAUCCCGCCACCUGGCUGGCUUGUGACCUCUGGCUCCCUGCCCAGUGCCACUUCCCCUCACCGGUAGAAGGGAGUUGAUAAAGACUGGUCACAGAAAUAAUCAUUGAUGUAGGUAGUCAGCAGGCGCCGGUCCCAGUCAUCUGUGACAUGUCCACCAUAGUUGACGCCGGCAAUGAGGUACUUGAGUGCAUCCCAAGGUGUCUCCUCAUACUCAUCCAGAUAGAGGCUCAGCAAGUUCUCUGACACCUGGGCAUAGUCCCAACCCAAGCCCCCAUCGCCACACAGUUAUGGCAGGAAAUCUGCCAAUGGAGCUUCAAUAUAGCCUUUCUGUCUGUGGAUAUUCCCACAGGGAAGCCAUGGGGUAGGAAGUGUUAAGGAGAAAGGGCUGGGACAAGGACCCCUGGCUGUUACAAACCUCAAAGUCGGAGUCAUUGAAGCCAUAGAUAAUGUUCCAGCCAAGCUGCAGGAACUUUUUGCGUUCAAGUAAUACAGAGUGGAAGAAACAAAGUGCAAACAGCAGCUUCUUAUAUUUGGCAGGUUUGGAGCAGCGGGUAAACUGUGGUUCUGUCAUCAGUUGGUAUAGACGUGUCAUAUUGGCCUUUAGGCCCUGGGGACAAUAAAGUACAAAGAUGGGGUUGACAUGUAUCAUACUUAGAUCUGCCACUAGCACCUCCAUAUACAGUUGUGUGGCGGCUCUUCACUGCACAAAGCCACUGGCUGAAAGGGUGAGUGGAGGCUGAAAUGUAGCCCUUGAUCUACAUGCCAAGAUAUGCACUCCUCUACAAGGCUGGGUGCCUUUCUCUAUCUAAUUCGUAGACAGGCACUGUAUGGGCUUGUGGCAUGACUGACUUCUUGUCCCACCACUUUUGAAUCUCUCAACCCUGAUGUUCUCAGCAGUAGGUAGGCCAGCUCAAUUUGGGGUGCGAGAAAAUAUGAACAAAGAGGAAUACAUAUACAUGCAGUUAACAAAAAUGUACAGAAUUGUGUGCAAAGGUUAGUGUAGAUUUAAAAGGCCAUACUAUAUCAUCAAGGAGGAACAAUCCAUGUGAUUGGCAUUAUUUGGCUCCAUGAGCAAGCUGGGAUUUGAACUAAGCCUUCCAAAUGGGAAGGAUAUGACUAGGCUUGAGAGGGGAGUCUUCCUUUCCUGGAGAUGGAAGGAAUUGAAUAAAGGCACAGAGGAGAAAAUAAAGUGAGAGGAUGAGCCUGGCUGAAGUCAAAUGCAAGUGCUCAGGUGGGAAGAGGAGGGCCAUGGAUAGAUGGAGAUGCAAUAAGAAUGGAUGUUUAAGCCAUCUGUACUUGAUUCACCAGGCAUCAUGGAGUCACUCUAUCUUGAGUAGGACAGCAAUCUGUUCAAAGAGCAUUUUAAGAAGACUUAUCUGUGACUGACGGAAUGGAAUAGUGAGAAACUUGAGGAAUACUGGAUAGCAGUAACAAAAAUAAUAUGUGACUUUUUAAAAAAUGCCGUUUGCCAGAUGUGGCGGCUCAUGCCUGUAAUCCUAGCACUUUGGGAGGCCAACGCAGGUGGAUCACUUGAGGCCAGGAGUUUGAGACCAGCCUAGCCAACAUGGCGAAACCCCAUCUCUACUAAAACUACAAAAAAAAAUUAGCCGGGCAUGGUGGCAGGCUCCUGUAAUGCCAGCUACUCGGGAGGCUGAGGCAGGAGAAUCACUUGAAUCCAGGAGGCGGAGGUUGCAGUGAGCCAAGAUUGAGCCAUUGCACUCCAGCUUGGGUAACGAGCGAAACUCCAUCUCAAAAAAAAAAAUGACAUUUAUGACAUCAAGAUAUGUCAAGUAUUUAGAAAUAAAUCCAAUUAAAAUCUAUGAUUAUUUAUGGAGAAAAUUACAGAAUUUUAGGCCAGGCAUGGUGGCUCACACCUGUAAUCUCAGCGCUUUGGGAGGCCAAGAUGGGAGGAUUCCUUGAGCUCAGGAGUUCGAGACCAACCUGGGAAACAGCAAGAUUCUGUCUCUAUAAAAACAACAGCAACAACAACAAAAUAACAUUACAGAACUUUAGUAAAAUAAAGAAUAAAUGGAGGCUGGGCACAGGGACUCAUGCCACCUGGGAUCCCAUUGUGCUAUGAUUGCACCACUGCACUCCAACCUAGCUGAUAGAGCAAGACCCUUUCUCUCUCUAAAAAAAGAGGAAAAACAUGAGUAAAUGGAGAAAUAUACUUACAGAUUGGGAUCUUCAUUGUCCUAAAGGUAUCAAUUUCUCCCAAAUUAGUCAAUAGAAUUUUUUUAUACAACAAGGUAAUUCUAAAAUUUAUAUUGGUGAAUAAAAGGUCAGGAAUAGCCUGAAGAAGCAUAAGGUAAGGGGAUUGCCUUACCAGCUAUCCAGAAUUAUUAUAAAGCUAUAUGGUAAUUAAGACUAAAGUAUAUUGGCCCAGCACUGUGGGUUAUACCUGUAAUCCCAGCAAUUUAGGAGGCCAAGGUUGGAGGACAACUUGAGUCCAGGAGUCCAAGACCAGCCUGGCCAACAUGGUAAAACCCAAUCGCUACAAAAAUAUAUAUAUACAAAAAUUAGCCGGAGUUGUGGCACACACCUGUAAGGUGUAGGGGGGAGAAUUGCUAGAGCCCAAGAGGCAGAGGUUGCAGUGAGCCAUGAUAGUGCCACUGUACUCCAGCCUGGGCCAUAGAGCAAGACUCUGUCUCAAACCAACAAACAAAAAAAGGACUAAAGCAUUGACUCCAGGAUAAAACAAUUUGACCAAUGAACAGAAUAAAAGACCCUGAAAAACCCAUACAUAUAUGGAAACAUGAUUGAAGGCUGAGCAGGCACUACAGAUCAGAAAGGUACUUGCAUAGUAUUUAAUAAGUGGUACUGGGAGAAUUGGUUAUCCAUGUAGAAAAAAAUUAAAUUGGCUGGGUGCAGUGGGUGAUGCCUGUAAUUCCAACACUUAGGGAGGUUGAGGUGGGUAGAUCACCUGAGGUCAGGAGUUCAAGACCAGCCUGGUCAACAUGAUGAAACCCCGUCUCUACAAAAAAUAACAAAAUUAGCCAGGUGGGGUUGCAGGUUCCUGUAAUGUCAGCUACUCAGGAGACUGAGGCAGGAGAAUCACUUGAAACCUGGGAGAUGGAGGUUACAGUGCAUCAAGAUCAUGCUACUGCACUCCAGCCUGGAGUGCACUCCAGCGAGACUCUGUCUCAAAAAAAAAAAAAAAAGAAAAGAAAAAAAGAACGAAAGAAAAUUGGACCUCUGCCUCAUACCACAGUCACAAAAAUCAAUUCCAAGUGAUUAAAAACUUAAAUGUAGGCCGGUGAGGUGGCUCACGCCUGUAAUCCCAGCACUUUGGCAGGCCAAGGUGGGCGGAUCACAAAGUCAGGAGUUCAAAACCAGCCUGGCCAAUAUGGUGAAACCCUGUCUCUACUAAAAAUACAAAAAUUAGUUGGGCGUGGUGGCACGCGCUUUUAGUCCCAGUUACCCGGGAGGUUGAGGCAGGAGAAUCGCUUGAACCCAGGAGCAGAAGUCACAAUGAGCUGAGAUCAUGCCACUGCACUCCAGCCUGGGUGGCAGAGCGAUACUCCAUUUGGUAAAAAAAUUAAAGUAAAAAUAAAAUUAAUUAAAAACCUAAAUGUGAAAGUCAAAUUAUAAAUAUUUUGGAAGGCAAGUAUAGGAAAGUACUUUUACAGUCUUAAAGUAAGCAAGGACUUCUUGAACAAGACAAAGGAGCACAAACCAUUUAAAAAAGGAAAGAUGUAUAUCUUUCCUGAGGCUAAAUUCAACCUCAUAAAAAUUAAGAAUUUAUCUUCACAAAAAAACAGCAUAAAAGAGACAAACCGCAAAACACAUAACUGAUGAAGGAUUAGGAUCUGGAAUAUAUGAAGAACUACAAAACUCGAAGAACAUCAGGAAUGAAUGUCAAGUACAUAAUGUUGCAUAAAAAAAGCAAGUUACAGAGGAACGUAAAUAACAGUGUUUGCAUUAGCAAUACAAACUUUUGCAUUACAAUGAUAAAAAAUUCCUAACUCCAGGGGAAAAGAAAAAAAUUAUAAAAGAAAAUGAGAAAUACAAGAUUCAGAAGAGUGAUUUCCUCUGAGUGGAGAGGGAAAGUGAUAAGACUGGGAAGAGGCACACCAGGACUUCAAAGAAAAUGCUGGGAUUUUUCUUUCUUGAAAGGGUGAUGUGCACACAGAUAUUCAUGGAAUCAUAAUCCUUUAUAACUUGCUUGUAUUUUAUAAAUAUUCUUUUGUAUCUACUUAAUAUCUAGCUUUUAAAAAAGAUUGGGUAGCAGGAGGUGACCCAGGAAUAUACUCCAGGACUAAACCCCAAAGUGGCAACUGGGGGCUGUUAAUACAGGGACUUUCUUAUUUGAAGUAAAACUCAGGCCGGGCAUGGUGGCUUAGCACUUUGGGAAGACAAGGCGGGUGUAUCACAGGAGUUCAAGACCAGCCUGGCCAACAGGGUAAAACCCAGUCUCCACUACAAAUAUUAGGGGCCAGGUGCGGUGGCUCACACCUGUAAUCCCAGCACUUUAGGAGGCCAAGGCAGGCAGAUCAUGAGGUCAGGAGUUCGAGACCCUGGCCUGAAUGGUGAAACCCUUUCUCUAGUAAAAAUACAAAAAAUUAGCCAGGCAUGGUAGCAUGCACCUGUAGUCCCAGCUACUUGGGAGGCUGAGGCAUGAGAAUUGCUUGAAGCUGGUUGGUUGCAAUGAGCUGAGAUCAUGCCACUGUACUCCAGCCUGGGCACAGAGUGAGACUCUAUCUCAAAAGAAAAAAAAAUAAUUAGCUGUUUGUAGUGGCAUAUGCCCGUAAUCCCAGCUACUUGGGAGGCUGAGGCAGGAGAAUUUCUUGAACCCGGGAAAUGGUGCCCAGGCUGGAGUGCAACGGUGUGAUCUAGGCUCACUGCAGCCUCCACCUCUAGCUGGGAUUCUCAUACCUGAGCCCUAUAUAUUACCUUCCUGACCUCAGAUGAUCUACCCACUUCGGCCUCCCAAAAUGCUGAGAUUACAGGUGUGAACCCCUGCACCCAGCCUGAGCCACCAUGCUCAACUGAGACUCUUUCUUAAAAAUGAUCUUAUUUCUAAACACAGUCACAUUCUGAGUCUUGGGUGUUGGAACAAAAAAGUAUGAAAAGAGUGUGCUAUUAUUAUGUUGCUGGUGUGCCAAGAAGUGCUUUGUAAUCCAAUGGCAAUUCAGAGCUGGAACUGACUUUGGUACUGGUGCCAGAGAUGGGAUUAGAGUUGAAUCAUGAAAAGGACAAUUUCUCCAACAACUUGUGAAAGGAGAAAGUGUAGAAUCAGAAACGCUGAGCCAGGACUGAGGGCCCUCCCCUCUUAGUCCUUAGUUCAAGGACCAAGUAUUGAAAUUUUGCCAUAGGCAAAGAGGCAAAAGAAACAGAGGUAAUAAAUGAUUUGUCAAAAGACGGGGGGUGGGAAGCAGGAGUGAUGUGUCAGGGAGCCAGGAAAAGGGACAAGUCAACUGUGUCAACUGCCCCAAGGUGGUCAAGGAGGAUUAAGAAUGAUGAAAGGCACCCAUGCGUGAUUCAAACAGCACUUAUCUGUUAAGCAUGAUACAUACUGGCCCAUGUGCUUUUCACAGGGUGAGCAAAAAGGAUUUUGAUCUUGACUAAGAGCAAUGAAAAGCUACUAAAAUAGUUUAAGCAGGGGUGAGUGGGUGAACUGCAAUGACACGGCUGGUUUUAGAGGAUUGGGAUGAUUGCAUUUGGUGAUGAACUUGUGAUACUGGAGAUAAAAAUUUCAGUAGAGUUGGAGGAAAGGAAGGACAAAGAGGCAGGAAGUGUGACAUUAGGAAGAGAAUGUAAGGAAAUGCUGGGAGGCAGGAAGGUUCCGAGGUAUAAAAGAGUGACUUUGGGGACCCAACUACCCAAACUCAGGCUCUGGAAUGCUUAUUUACUCUUUCUGUAUCUCAGUGUCCUAUCUUUAAAAAUGGGGGCAACAGUAUUCAUCUGAUAGGGUGUGUGUGUAUGCCCAUACAUAUUAAACCAGUUAAUAAGUAUAAGUAACUUACAACAGUGCCUGGCACAUGAUAAUUACUCAAAAAAUGUUAGAUAUUACUAUUGUGUUCCAGGAGUUUGGCACAAACAGGAGAGGAAUGAGGUGAAUUUUUUUUUUUUUUUUUUUUUUGAGAUGGAGUCUAACUCUGUUGCCCAGGCCAGAGUGCAGUGGGGUGACCUCAGUUUGCCACAACCUUUGCCUCUUGGGUUCAAGUGAUUCUCCUGCCUCAGCCUCCCAAGUAGCUGGGCCUACAGGCACGCACCACCAUGCCUAGCUAACUUUUGUGUUUUUAGUAGAGACAGGGUUUCACUAUGUUGGCUAGGCUAGUCUCAAACUCCUGACCUUAUGAUCCACCCCCCUCAGCCUCCCAAAGUGCUGGGAUUACAGGCAUGAGCCACCACGUUUGGCCGAGGCAGAAUUUUUUAGAGGACAAUAAAAUCAAAGCCAUGUUGUUGUUGGGUUAAGCCUUCUCUCUGAUGCUAGCAGGAGAUAAGGUGGACCAGAUGGCCCUGCUGAUGCUGGCUCUCUAUGGCCACAUACCUUUGGUGGCUCUGUGGUCAUCUUGAUGCUGGCCUGCAAGAUUGAGAUAGGGAAGUCUGGGUGGGGGCUGGAGCUGAGCCAGAGACGGAAGGAUGGAUGAGGAUCCUCCACCUGCAGCUGCUCCACCAGCUUGUCCAGAUUAGGCAUCCAAGACAGUGACAGAUGGCAGUUUGCCAGGAACACCCAGUGUCCUGCAAGGAGAUGCCAGGGUCAGUGGGAAUCAUUUCCUAAGCUCUGCCUGUCCUCAUGCUUUCCACCUGAUGUAGGUUAGUGGGUGGCUGGGGAAGGUCUAGCACUCAGUGUGCCACUUUCUGGGGCUCUCUGUAGAAGUGGGAGGUGCAGGUACAGUAGUGUAAUUGAGGUUGGAGGUUCUAGGGACAAGGACGGGGCUGAAGCUGGGGGUGAAAGAAAGGAUGGACACCAACCCUGAGUCACACCCUCUCGGAGAAGUCGAGCAGCAAUGGGGGCCUGGCCCUGGCCCAGGGACAGGGCGUGGAAGCGCUGGGCCAUGCCUGUGUGCUCUGCCAGCUGGAGCAGGGCGCUGGUGGGGUCCACACCCGGGGACAGGAUGAACACAAGUGGGGAUCGUGGGGUUGAAUCCUCCAUCACCUGCCAGAAGCACAGAUAUGGCAUCAGGCAGAAGGCCACAUAACCAAAGUUGGGGAGAGAGAUGGAGGACACUGAAAUAGAGCAAGGAAAGCAGGAAGGACCCAGGGGCCGUGGGCUCAAGGAAGCCAAGCCACUGACCAGCUUCAUAUUCAGCACAGGCGGCUCAAUGAAGCGGGAGCCAAGGUUGGUGAUGAUGAAGGAGGUCACGCAGAAGGCCACGCGGUCCUGGCGCAGGGAGCGGACGAUCAGCAUCCGCUGCAUUUCAUUGCAGGCAUUUUCCCACUCACCUGGGGAGGAGACGCAUCAGCAGCCGACUGCCUGCAUCCAUGGAAGGACCCCCUGUGACCGGUACUGGCUAACCCGUCCCCCACCAGCUGCAUCCACGGAAGGACCCCAUGUGAUGGGUACCGCCAACCCAUCCCCCACCAGCACCCAGGGACAGUGACUUGGCCUGCCCUAAGGCCCCAGCCCAGGGCUGUCUGAACGGAGGGACAGCUGGUAGGAGAUGGAGACCUCUUGAAGCAUAAUAAACCACACAAGAUUGGUUGGCAAGAGAAGGACAGAGAGCACAUAAAUGACUGCCACUCCAUGCCAGAGACCAUGCCUAAGGUGGAACCUUGAAAGAGGAAGAAGCAGUGAGAAAUGAACCCAAGAGCUAUUAGAGGAAAAGAGUCCGACAAAGGACUGGCUGGGUGUGGUGGCUCAUGCCUGUAAUCCCAAUACUUUGGCAGGUCAAGGCAGGAGGAUCCCUUGGGGCCAGGAGCUUGAGACCAGCCUGGGCAACAUGGUGAGACCCCCGUCUCUGUUCAAAAAAUAGAAAAGAAAAAGGACCAAGUCCAAGGUCCCACACUAGAGAUGGAGGCCUGGGCAGAACUGUGUAUACUAGAGAAACCUCUCUCAAGUCAUUGCCAUGUAAGGACUCUGUUGAGGUUGAAAUGAAUAUAUAUAUAUACACACACACAUACAUAUAGGGAUAUAUAUAUAUAUAUAUAUAUACACACAGACAUAUAUAACUAACAUGUAUGCUGUGCUGUAUCCCCCAUCCCAUAUUCCUCAUGAUGAAAAAGACAGUGAUACAGUCUGUAUCUGGCACAGCUGCUGUUGGCCGAUCAGAUACACAUGUAGGAUCAUACACACAUACAGGAUGUUGGGACAGCUCUAUCAGUUCUCUACUUCAGAUUUGAGUGAAUAUAUAUAUAAUAAUAACAUAUAUAACAUACUAUAUCAUAGAUGAUAUAUGUGUACAAUAUACAACAUAUGUAUAUAAUAUAUAUUAGAAGUACAUAAUAUAUAACACAUGUAUUAUAUGUAUAUAAUAUAUAGGUAAUAUAUAUAAUGUAUAACAUAUAAUAUAUAACAUAUAUAAUAUAUAUUAUAUAUACAUAUUAACUGAAAUCUGAAGUAGAGAACUGAUAGAGCCUUGUCCUAAGAUCCUGUAUGUAUGUAUGGUAUGUAUAUCUGAUCGGCCAACAGCAAUUGUGCCUGGAUACAGACUGUAUCACCAUCCUUUUCAUCAUGAGGAAUGUGGGAUGGGGGUUACACACAGCAUGCACAGCAUACACGUUAGUUCCUUUUCCUGCUGCCACCUCACUAGGAAAAGCAGCCUGCAAUUGUGGAAAUAGUUCCACUACUAUAAAGCAGAAGUAGCUCUGCCUUAAUGAGUAAUUCUGGUAAGUUUCAACCUUUUGGACCCUUGCCGGGGUUGCUGUGUAUAAAGGUGAUGUGGGCUGAGGCGCAGUACCUGACCAAAGCACUUGGAAAUGGUACAGAUCACUCUCCAAAAAAUAUUCUUUAAAACAGCCGAGCGUGGUGGCUCACGCCUGUAAUCCCAGCACUUUGGGAGGCCGAGGCAGGUGGAUCACGAGCUCAAGAGAUCGAGACCAUCCUGGUCAACAUGGUGAAACCCCAUCUCUACUAAAAAUACAAAAAAAAAAAAAAAUUAGCUGGGCACGGUGGCGCAUGCCUGUAGUCCCAGCUACUCAGGAGGCUGAGGCAGGAGAAUUGUCUGAACCCAGGAGGCGGAGGUUGCGGUGAGCCAAGAUCGCGCCAUUGCACUCCAGCCUGGGUAACGAGCGAAACUCCGUCUAAAAAAAAAAAAAAAUUCUUUAAAACAACAUGGAGAUUCAAGGUGUCACCUUCCAGGGACUCUCUGUGAAUCUGCUGUGAUUCUGGGGGGGUUCCUGAUAAAAUAAAAAUAAAUAAAUAAAAAUAAAGUGUCACCUCCCAAGGACUUGAGAGCUUAUAGAUUCAGCCUUGGUAGUGACCUGAUAGAUGCCAUUAACAUCUAAAGAAAGAAGGUGUCACUCAGAAGGCACGUGGUCAGCUGGGCCACUCAGAGGAACACUUGCUGGGGGCCCACAAGGUGGCGGGGCGGGGGACGCUCUAACCCCACACAUGGGUGUUGGGUCUAGCCCUGAUGGAGCCGAUACUUUGGUGGUCUUUGCUCCAGCACCUGCCAGUCGCCAGGAUCAUGUGAUCGAGCUGGGUGCACCCUCAUCACCAACAUUCCGAUUGUAAUUUCACUUCCCUUGGAGAUGUGUCAGUAGGGAGGCAUCCAGGCUGCUUGAUAGUUCUUUUCAUUUUGUUUUAUUCGUUUCCCUUAUUUUUUUUAUAGAUAAUUCUAUGUUUAAUUACUAAUUUCAUGUGUGGUGGUGGUGUCGUCAUUGUUUAUUGUUUAUACAAGAAAUACAUGAGCAAGUUUAAAACCUAAAUGAUAUAAAAGGUUACAGGAAAAGUAGCAUCUAGACCAUGUUUCCCACACCUAGACUUCUUCGUCUGAGGCAAACUAUUUUUUUGUUCUUUCCUUUCUUUCUUUCUUUUUUUUUUUUUUUUUUUUUUGAGACGGAGUUUCGCUCUUGUUACCCAGACUGGAGUGCAAUGGCACGAUCUCGGCUCACCGCAACCUCCGCCUCCUGGGUUCAGGCAAUUCUCCUGCCUCAGCCUCUUGAGUAGCUGGGACUACAGGCAUGCGCCACCAUGCCCAGCUAAUUUUUUUUUUUGUAUUUUUAGUAGAGACGGGGUUUCACCAUGUUGACCAGGAUGGUCUCGAUCUCUUGAGCUCGUGAUCCACCCGCCUCGGCCUCCCAAAGUGCUGGGAUUACAGGCGUGAGCCACCGCGCCGGCUUAACCACUUUCCUUUUUAUUUAUGCUGAUUGUUACUUCUGUAUCUCUGAAAAAUAUGCUUAUGCCUCUAUUUUUAAAGUAUGCUAAUCUCUUUGCAGCUUUGAAUUUUUAAAAAUUAUUAUGAAAAAUUUUAAACCUAGAAACACCCAUCAGCUAGAUUUCACAGUUAACAUUUUGCUAUAUAUAUUUCAUAUACUUGUUUUUUGCCAAAGUAUCUUCAAGUAAAUUAAAAACUCAUGAAAUUUCAAGCCUAAAUACUUCAUAACACAUCUCUAAAAAUUAAUAAGGACAUUUUUCUGCAUAACCAUACACUAUUAUUAUACCUAAUAAAAUAUUUGUUGUAUCUUAGAAAAUAAUUACUACCUGUUUUUUUUUGAAUAGUGAAUACAUUUACAUCAAUAAAAAUCCAAAAGGAACAAAAGUACCUACAGUGAAGGGGAGGUCUUCCUCCCACUCCUGAGCCCUCUCCCAGGCCUUGCUCUAGUUUCCCGGGUAGCUUUCUAGAAUAGUUCCUGCACAGAAUUGCUUCUAUAUAAAGAAAACAUAAGCACUGUGAAGGCAGGGACUUGUUCCACCACUGAAUCUUUAGACCUAAAAUAAUGCUCAGUACUCACACGUUUUUAAUAAAUGAAUUUUUUUUUUUUAAGACAGAGUCUUGCACUGUCACCCAGCCUGGAGUGCAGUGGCAUGAUCUCAGCUUACUGCAACCUCCACCUUUUGGUUCAGGCAAUUCUCCUGCCUCAGCCUUCUGAGUAGCUGAGAUUACAGGCACCCACCACCAUGCCCAGCUAAUUUUUGUAUUUUUAGUAGAUUAAAUUUUGUAUUUUUAGUAAUUUUUGUAUUUCACCAUAUUGGCCAGGCUGGUCUCGAACUCCUGACCUCCAGUGAUCCACCUGCCUCAACCUCCCAAAGUGCUGGGAUUACAGGCAUGAGCCAAUGCACCUGGCCAGAAUAAAUGAAUUUUUAAUCAGUGGUUAUAUACUAUAACACUGUACUUUCCGAUUUUUUUUUUACUUGUUUCCAAAUCAGUUCUUAUGAGCUGCCUCAUUCUUUUUAGCAGCUGCAAAACACUCUUGUGAGUGACUGAACUAUGAUUUAUAUAACAAGUCUCCUACAGAUACACAUUUGUGUUUUUCCAACAUUCUGCUAUGAACAAUGCUGUAAUAAGUAUCCUUGUACAAGGUCAGGCAUGUUGUCUCACGCCUGUCAUCCCAGCUACUUGGUAGGUUGAGGCAGGAGAAUUGCUUGAACCUGGGAGGUGGAGGUUGCAGUGAGCCGCAGUCACACCAUUGCACUCCAGCCUGGGCGACAGAGUGAGACUCAGUCUCAAAAAACAAAACAAAACAAAGAAAUAAUCUAAAAUGGAUACACUGGGCAACAGCAAUAUAGACUAUGCUUCUAUAUGUAUAGAAUAUCCCUGGAAGGAGAGUCAAGAAACCGGUAACAAUAGUAACAUUGGCUGCCUCUAAAGAAGGGACGUGGCUGAGUGGGGAACAGGGUUAGGAGGAAGACUUUUCCUACCCUCAUGCCCUUGGGCCUUUUGAAUUUUUGAUAGCUAUUCCGAACCUCACAAAGUAAAAAAAAAAAAAAAAUUAAAGGAACAAGAAAUAGCAGUGUGAAGAUGUGCUCGUGCCUGUACAAAAAUUUUUCUUUCUUUUUUUUUUUUUUUUUGUAGAGACAGGGUCUUGCUAUGUUGCCCGGGGUCUCAAACUCCUGGCCUCAAGCAAUCCUCCUGCCUCUGCCUCCCAAAGUGCUGGGAUUAUAGGCGUUAGACAACAUGUAGAGAUGGGGCCUGUGCGGUGGCUUACACCUGUAAUCCCAGCCCUUUGGGAGGCUGAGGCAGGCAGAUUGCCUGAGGUCAGGAGUUCCAGACCAGCCUGGCCAAUAUAGUGAAACCCCGUCUCUACUAAAAAUACAAAAAAAAAAAAAAAUUAGCCAGACGAGGUGGUGGGCACCUGUCAUCCCAGCUACUUGGUAGGUUGAGGCAGGGGAAUUGCUUGAAUCAGGGAAGUGGAGGUUGCAGUGAGCCCAGAUCACACCACUGAACUCACUCCAGCCUGGUAGACAGGGCGAGACUCUGUCUGAAUUGUGUACUUUAAAAUGGUUACAAUAAUAUAUUUUAUAUGUAUUUUACCACAAUCAACCCCCUAAGAAAAGGAGGUAUUUAUAUGUGAAUUUAUAACCCCCAAUACAGUAAAUGCUUAUUGGUUGGA